AGGGGUAUAGCUCAAUCUGGUAGAGCACUGGUCUCCAAAACCAAAGGUUGUAGGUUCAAAUCCUGCUGCCCCUG
rnacentral:tRNA from 1 species